rnacentral:rRNA from 1 species
AACGAACGCUGGCGGCAGGCUUAACACAUGCAAGUCGAACGCGUGUAGCAAUACACGAGUGGCGCACGGGUGAGUAACGCGUGGAUAUCUGCCUUUUGGUUCGGAAUAACCCCGGGAAACUGGGGCUAAUACCGGAUGGUUCCUACGGGAUAAAGAUUUAUCGCCAAAAGAUGAGUCCGCGUACGAUUAGCUAGUUGGUGAGGUAAUGGCUCACCAAGGCGACGAUCGUUAGCUGGUCUGAGAGGACGAUCAGCCACACUGGGACUGAGACACGGCCCAGACUCCUACGGGAGGCAGCAGUGGGGAAUAUUGGACAAUGGGGGCAACCCUGAUCCAGCCAUGCCGCGUGAAAGAUGAAGGCCAUCGGGUUGUAAAGCUCUUUUGGCGGGGACGAUGAUGCGGU